UGCCUUUUGAAUUCUUAUAAAAGGUAACUCCUGCCCAGUGAAAAUAAAUUCAACGGCCGCGGUAUCCUAACCGUGCAAAGGUAGCAUAAUCACUUGUCUAUUAAUUGUAGACUAGAAUGAAAGGAUAAACGAAAUAAGAGCUGUCUCUAUUAGUUUUAUAUAAAUUAUAAUUUAGAUGAAGAUAUCUAUAUUUAAAUGAAAGACAAGAAGACCCUAUAGAGCUUUAUUAUUAAAGAGAACUAAACCUCUCCAAAAGAUUCGGUUGGGGCGACCAAGGGAUCAAUCAUCACCCUUUUAAUUUUUGAUUAAUAAAUCUUUUCCUUGACCCUUUAUAAAGAGCAUAAAAACAAGCUACCUUAGGGAUAACAGGCUAAUCUUGUUAAAGAGUCCUUAUCUAUAAUAAGGGUUGGCACCUCGAUGUUGGCUUAGGGUAUCAUUAUGGCGCAAAAGUCAUAAAAAGAUGGUUUGUUCAACCUAUAAUUCCCU
rnacentral:rRNA from 1 species